rnacentral:rRNA from 1 species
UACGAAGGGGGCUAGCGUUGUUCGGAAUUACUGGGCGUAAAGCGCGCGCAGGCGGUCUUCCAAGUCAGUGGUGAAAGCCCGGAGCUCAACUCCGGAACUGCCAUUGAAACUGUAAGACUUGAGGACGAGAGAGGUGAGUGGAAUUCCCAGUGUAGAGGUGAAAUUCGUAGAUAUUGGGAAGAACACCAGUGGCGAAGGCGGCGAUCUGGGAAGAUACUGACGCUGAGGUGCGAAAGCGUGGGGAGCAAACAGG